AUGACGAGGCUUAGGAUAGCACUCAGACCAAGAGCCUUCAAAGCCCUAAGCGGGACCACCUUACCUGUGAUAAUCACACGUUGAUUUUUCUCAACUAACCACAAAGAUAUCGGUACCCUUUAUUUAGUAUUUGGUGCCUGAGCCGGUAUAGUAGGUACAGCUCUUAGCCUUCUUAUUCGGGCGGAACUAAGCCAACCAGGCUCUCUCCUAGGGGAUGACCAAAUUUAUAAUGUAAUCGUUACAGCACAUGCAUUUGUAAUAAUCUUUUUUAUAGUUAUGCCUAUUAUAAUUGGUGGCUUUGGAAAUUGACUAGUCCCUCUUAUGAUCGGUGCCCCAGACAUAGCUUUUCCUCGAAUAAAUAAUAUAAGCUUCUGACUACUCCCACCCUCAUUUUUACUUCUCUUAGCCUCUUCCGGCGUUGAAGCCGGGGCUGGUACAGGUUGAACAGUCUAUCCUCCUCUAGCAGGUAAUUUAGCUCAUGCUGGGGCUUCUGUAGAUUUAACUAUUUUUUCCCUUCACUUAGCUGGAAUUUCAUCAAUUUUAGGUGCUAUUAAUUUUAUUACAACUAUUAUUAAUAUAAAACCUCCAGCUAUCUCCCAAUACCAAACCCCCCUGUUCGUCUGAGCUGUCUUAAUUACUGCUGUACUUCUUCUACUUUCCUUACCAGUUCUUGCUGCAGGAAUUACAAUACUGUUAACUGACCGAAAUUUAAAUACUACAUUUUUUGAUCCGGCAGGUGGAGGAGAUCCAAUUCUAUACCAACAUUUAUUCUGAUUCUUUGGUCACCCAGAAGUUUAUAUUCUUAUUUUACCAGGCUUUGGUAUAAUUUCACAUAUUGUAGCAUACUAUUCUGGUAAAAAAGAACCGUUUGGAUAUAUGGGUAUAGUAUGAGCAAUAAUAGCAAUUGGUCUUCUCGGCUUUAUUGUUUGAGCCCAUCACAUAUUUACAGUCGGAAUAGACGUAGACACUCGAGCUUACUUUACAUCUGCUACUAUAAUUAUUGCUAUUCCAACAGGAGUAAAAGUGUUUAGCUGAUUAGCUACUCUCCAUGGAGGAUCUAUUAAAUGAGAAACUCCUUUACUCUGAGCAUUAGGAUUCAUUUUCCUAUUUACAGUAGGGGGGCUUACAGGAAUUGUUUUAGCUAAUUCAUCCUUAGAUAUUGUGCUCCACGAUACUUAUUAUGUAGUUGCUCACUUCCAUUAUGUCUUAUCCAUGGGAGCCGUAUUUGCAAUUAUCGCUGCCUUUGUUCAUUGAUUCCCUCUGUUCUCAGGUUAUACCCUUCAUAGCACAUGAACUAAAAUUCAUUUUGGUAUUAUGUUUGUAGGCGUUAAUUUAACCUUUUUCCCACAACAUUUCCUUGGAUUGGCAGGUAUACCUCGACGAUAUUCUGAUUAUCCAGAUGCCUAUACCCUUUGAAAUACAGUGUCUUCUAUUGGGUCAUUAAUUUCCCUUGUAGCAGUAAUCAUGUUUUUAUUUAUUAUCUGAGAAGCAUUCGCUGCUAAACGUGAAGUACUAUCUGUUGAAAUAACAGCAACUAAUGUUGAAUGACUUCAUGGCUGCCCUCCUCCCUACCACACAUUUGAAGAGCCUGCCUUUGUUCAAAUUCAACAUUAGUUUAACCCUCGAGAAAGGAAGGAAUUGAACCCCCAUAAAUUGGUUUCAAGCCAACCGCAUAACCAUUCUGCCACUUUCUUUAUAA